rnacentral:rRNA from 1 species
UACGAAGGGGGCUAGCGUUGCUCGGAAUUACUGGGCGUAAAGCGCACGUAGGCGGCUUUCUAAGUCGGGGGUGAAAUCCUGGAGCUCAACUCCAGAACUGCCUUCGAUACUGGAGAGCUUGAGUCCGGGAGAGGUGAGUGGAACUGCGAGUGUAGAGGUGAAAUUCGUAGAUAUUCGCAAGAACACCAGUGGCGAAGGCGGCUCACUGGCCCGGUACUGACGCUGAGGUGCGAAAGCGUGGGGAGCAAACAGGAUUGAGAAACCC